GGAGACGCCAGCCAAAGGAGGCGGGGUUGCAGGAGGAGAGUCCGCUCUGCGCAAUCCAGUCCGGGACUUGGCUCCGCCCGGGAGCGUCGGCCUCUCCUGUGACAGAGGAGUAGUGAGCUGCACGGGGUGAGGCUGCAGCCAACUCCGCUCCCCGCGCACUCAGCUGCCCAGGCGCUCGGGACGCAGUAGCUGCGCUUCUCCGUGGUGCCGAAUGCCCGCGAUGCCGGCCUAAGGAGCGUGCGGCAGCGGCCAGCAUCGCCACACCCCGGCCACCGCGCUCCGGCUGCAGAAAGGGGACAGAGCUUUGCACCCUUGCCCCAGCCCCCACCCCGCCCCCCGUCCUGAAAUGACUUGUUAAUCGGCGCAGACACCACCAAGGGGACUCACCGGAGUGGAAUCCAAGUGGAAUUUGGAUUUGGAGAAGAGUUUCUUGAACAUUUACCCUCGUCCUUGUUGGUUCUUCUUCUUCUUCUUUCUUUCUUUUAUUUCCUUUUAAUUUUUUAAAAAUAUUUGGCUUCUUUCUUGAUCUCCCCUUCCCCGCCUUUCAUUGGAGAUGAUCAGAGCUCGCUUGUAUCCCAGAAAGUAGUCUUCACGACUGUUGCCCCAAAAGAGACAAGCACACAUGUAGGAAUGACAAAGGCUUGCGAACGAAAGAGCGCAGCUCGAGGCCCGGAGAGAUCUUCUCGAUAAUGGAUUACUAAAUGGGAUACACUCUGUACCAGUUCCUUCCGAGCCCUGGCUGCCUGCUCGUCGAUGCACCGAAAAGGGUGAAGUAGAAAAAUAAAGUCUCCCCGCUGAACUACUAUGAGGUCAGAAGCCUUGCUGCUAUAUUUCACACUGCUACACUUUGCUGGGGCUGGUUUCCCAGAAGAUUCUGAGCCAAUCAGUAUUUCGCAUGGCAACUAUACAAAACAGUAUCCGGUGUUUGUGGGCCACAAGCCAGGACGGAACACCACACAGAGGCACAGACUGGACAUUCAGAUGAUUAUGAUCAUGAACAGAACCCUCUACCUUGCUGCUAGGGACCAUAUUUAUACUGUUGAUAUUGACACAUCCCACACAGAAGAAAUUUACUGUAGCAAAAAACUGACAUGGAAAUCUAGACAAGCUGAUGUAGACACAUGCAGAAUGAAGGGAAAACAUAAGGAUGAGUGUCACAACUUUAUUAAAGUUCUACUGAAGAAAAACGAUGAUACGUUGUUUGUCUGUGGAACCAAUGCCUUCAACCCUUCCUGCAGGAACUAUAAGAUUGAUACUUUGGAACCUUUUGGGGAUGAAUUUAGUGGAAUGGCCCGAUGCCCUUAUGAUGCCAAACAUGCCAACGUUGCGCUGUUUGCAGAUGGAAAACUAUACUCAGCCACAGUGACUGACUUCCUGGCCAUUGAUGCAGUCAUUUACCGGAGUCUUGGAGACAGCCCUACCCUGAGGACCGUCAAGCACGAUUCAAAAUGGUUGAAAGAACCAUACUUUGUCCAAGCAGUGGAUUAUGGAGACUACAUCUACUUCUUCUUCAGGGAAAUCGCUGUGGAGUACAACACCAUGGGAAAGGUUGUUUUCCCUAGAGUCGCUCAGGUUUGUAAGAAUGACAUGGGAGGGUCUCAGAGAGUCCUGGAGAAACAGUGGACAUCUUUCCUGAAGGCUCGACUGAACUGCUCAGUGCCUGGAGACUCUCAUUUUUAUUUCAACAUACUCCAGGCGGUUACAGACGUGAUCCAUAUUAAUGGCCGUGAUGUUGUCCUGGCAACCUUUUCCACACCUUAUAACAGCAUCCCUGGGUCUGCAGUUUGUGCCUAUGACAUGCUUGACAUUGCCAAUGUGUUUACUGGGAGAUUCAAGGAACAGAAGUCUCCCGAUUCCACCUGGACACCAGUUCCUGAUGAACGAGUCCCUAAGCCUAGGCCAGGUUGCUGUGCUGGCUCAUCCUCCUUAGAGAAAUAUGCCACCUCCAAUGAAUUUCCUGAUGACACCCUGAACUUCAUUAAGACUCACCCGCUCAUGGAUGAGGCAGUACCUUCCAUCAUCAACAGACCAUGGUUCCUGAGAACGAUGGUCAGAUACCGCCUGACCAAAAUUGCAGUAGAUACUGCUGCUGGGCCAUAUCAGAAUCACACUGUGGUUUUCCUGGGAUCAGAAAAAGGAAUCAUCUUGAAGUUCUUGGCUAGGAUAGGAAACAGUGGUUUCCUAAAUGACAGUCUUUUCCUGGAGGAGAUGAGCGUUUACAACCCAGAAAAAUGCAGUUAUGAUGGAGUAGAAGACAAAAGGAUUAUGGGCAUGCAGCUGGAUAGAGCCAGUAGCUCUCUGUACGUCGCAUUCUCCACCUGUGUGAUCAAGGUUCCUCUUGGCCGCUGUGAACGACACGGGAAGUGUAAAAAAACCUGUAUCGCCUCCAGAGACCCAUAUUGUGGGUGGGUAAAGGAAGCAGGUUCCUGUGUUCAUCUGUCACCCAAAAGCAGACUGACUUUUGAGCAGGACAUAGAGCGUGGCAAUACAGAUGGCCUGGGAGACUGUCACAAUUCCUUCGUGGCACUGAAUGGGCACGCCAGUUCCCUCUUGCCCAGCACCACCACAUCAGAUGCAGCGGCUCAAGAGGGGUAUGAGUCUAGGGGAGGAAUUCCGGACUGGAAGGACCUGUUCGAUUCACCUGACAGCACAGAUCCUUUCGGGGCAGUGUCUUCCCAUAAUCACCAAGACAAGAAGGGAGUGAUUCGGGAAAGUUACCUCAAAGGCCAUGAUCAGCUCGUUCCUGUCACCCUCUUGGCCAUUGCAGUCAUUCUGGCUUUUGUCAUGGGGGCCGUCUUCUCUGGCAUCAUCGUGUACUGUGUCUGUGAUCACCGGCGCAAGGAUGUGGCUGUGGUGCAGCGCAAGGAGAAGGAGCUCGCUCACUCACGCAGGGGAUCCAUGAGCAGUGUCACCAAGCUCAGUGGCCUCUUUGGGGACACCCAGUCCAAAGACCCCAAACCAGAGGCCAUCCUCACGCCGCUCAUGCACAACGGCAAGCUUGCCACUCCCAGCAACACCGCCAAGAUGCUCAUUAAGGCUGACCAGCAUCACUUGGACCUUACGGCCUUGCCCACCCCAGAGUCCACCCCAACACUGCAGCAGAAGCGGAAGCCCAGCCGUGGCAGCAGGGAGUGGGAGAGGAACCAGAACCUCAUCAAUGCCUGCACAAAGGACAUGCCCCCUAUGGGCUCCCCUGUGAUUCCCACGGACCUGCCCCUCCGGGCCUCCCCCAGCCACAUCCCCAGUGUGGUGGUCCUGCCCAUCACACAGCAGGGCUACCAGCAUGAGUACGUGGACCAGCCCAAACUGAGCGAGGUGGCCCACAUGGCACUGGAGGACCAGGCCGCCACCCUGGAGUACAAGACCAUCAAAGAUCAUCUCAGCAGCAAGAGUCCCAACCAUGGGGUGAGCCUCGUGGAGGACCCAGACAGCCUGCCCCCCAAGGUCCCACAGCGCGAGGCCUCCCUGGGCCCUCCGGGAGGCUCCCUGUCCCAGAACGGCCUGAGCAAGCGACUGGAAAUGCACCACUCCUCUUCCUACGGGGUUGACUAUAAAAGGAGCUACCCCACGAACUCGCUCACGAGAAGCCACCAGGCCACCACUCUCAAAAGAAACAAUACUAACUCCUCCAAUUCCUCUCACCUCUCCAGAAACCAGAGCUUUGGCAGGGGGGACAACCCGCCGCCUGCCCCACAGAGGGUGGACUCUAUCCAGGUGCACAGCUCCCAGGCAUCGGGCCAGGCCGUGACUGUUUCGAGGCAGCCCAGCCUCAACACCUACAAUUCACUAACGAGGUCGGGGCUGAAGCGUACUCCCUCGCUAAAGCCAGACGUACCUCCCAAACCCUCCUUUGCUCCCCUUUCCACAUCCAUGAAGCCCAAUGAUGCGUGUACAUAAUCCAGGGGGAGGGGGUCAGGAGUCGAACCAGCAGGCAAGGCGAGCGCCCGCUCAGCUCAGCAAGGUUCUCAACUGCCUGGAGUAUCCACCAGACCAAGAUGGCCCACGGCAGAACUGAGGACGCUAGCUGGGUCCUCCUCUGGGACACAGGGGUACUCUCAAUCGGGCCAUGUGGUUUGGUGAAGGUUCGCAACAGUGGGACUCACCUCCAUUCUCUUCCUUCACCCUCCCGCACACCCUACAGCAGGUUGGACCCACAAAAGACUUCAGUUUUCAUCACAAACAUGAGCCAAAAGCACAUACCCACCCACCCCCCCAUGCACACAUGCACAUGCACACACAACAACACACAGACACACACACACACAGUUGAACAGCAGCCACAACAUGGUGUCCAUGACUGCACGGGACGUUGCCAAACUGGGCUAGCGUUCCAAACUGCAAAAACACAAAUACAUUUUUUUUAAAAAUCAUGAAAAUUAAAAAAAUAUAUAUAUAAAGAAUUCAUUGAUAAUUCUAACUCAGACUUUAACAAUGGCAGAAGUUUACUAUGCGCAGAUACUGUGAAAUGCCCACCAGUGUUACAGCUUUUCUGUUAUAGCCGAUAAAUGCCAUGUUGGGCAACUAUGUCAUAGAUUUCUGCUCCUCUCUUUUAAUGAAAUAACGUGACCGUUAACGCAAGUAACUCUUUAUUUAUUGUUCUACUCUUUUUUUUUUCCUUAAGGAAAGGACUCUUCCAUAUAUCAUCCUAUGAACAGCUCUUCUGAAGCCCACUGAAAGUUAAAACUAUUUAACGUGAAAUCCAUUAACUGGAAUAAUUGAGUUUCUUUAUUUUUACAAUAAAUUCACUGAGUAAAUAAGUUGGAGCUGGAAUUCUGAGCUUUGUGUUUGGACUGUCUGGUCUGUAGCUAAAGGAAAGCAUUAAGAGGGGAAUAUUUAUUUAAGUCUACCAGUUAAUUUGAUGGUCAGGUUUCUGACCAUAACAUGCAAAAAAAAAAAAAAAAUCCAUUAGUUUCAUAGUCCUUCCAAAUCCUAACUUCUGAAGCAACCAGGAGAGAAACUUCUAGAAUGGCACAUCAUGUCCCAUUGCUGCCGAAGUGGCUCUUGUCAGUGGUCCCCACUUUCUGCGAAGGCACCAGCUUGAGAUCCGCCAUCUCAUUUCACCUUGCAUGUGAGACAGCAAAGCGAAAUCCACAAUCGGUGUGAACUAAUUAAUAUGCUGGCUGCUACCUUGCAUAAAUUAAUGGUUUGAUCACACGGGUUUUUCGUGGGGUUACAUCUGUGAAUAGCCUGUUUUCCACAUGUAAAUUUGUGCCUUACACCCUGAGUUGUGUACACCUGUAAACUGUCAUAUGAUCAAUUUUUUCUUCCUUUUGAAAUAAAUGCAGAUAUUUAUUUAACCCUCCCCACGACCCCCACUCCAGCCCUCUGGGGGAUUGGAGUCAAGCAGAUGGAAGAAGAACACAGCGGCGAAGGUCGUAAAGACGCCGCAGCCUGGGAGCGCUGGGUGGCAUACACCCUCUGAUUCACACUGCCUUCUAGUCGUGCCAACUCGAACCACCCUUUGGCUGUGCUGCCAAGCAUGGACCCCAGUGUCAUGGGUGGCAAAUCCCAGAGCCCCUGCUUCCCUUAUAUUCUCAGAUCAUUUCAAUAUGGUGACAUCCUCAUUAGGCAGCAGAAAAGGGACUAAUGUCCCAGUCCUCAUUCUGCUGUGUCCACUGGCUGGAGAAUACACUGUGUGCCAUUGGGCAGGCACCUGGGAGGAGUCUCCAAGCUGUGCUGCACGUACACAGCACACAAAGCAACGACGUGGAAAUAGAUGCAGGCAGGCUGGUCCCUGCUGUGAUUAAAGAGUAACUUGAAGUAUGAGGCCAACCACAAUGGAUGCUGCAAACACAUUGACUGGGGCAAAGUAUUUUCAGUUAUUUUAAAAUUUCUUUAUCAUUUUGUUAUUGUUUCUAGAAGGUUGGGAGGGGAUGGCCUGUGUGUCUCUCCCCAUGGUUUUCAUUUCGUUCAAGCACACAGAAGAGACUUCUGUUUACUCUAUCAUGAACAAAAGAAUUGUCAACAUACUGUAAACCGUAAGCAUUGUUGUCAGUUAUUAGUGUUUUUUUAAACAGUAUAUUUGGUGGUCUUCUUGUCCCUUUUAAUUUCUAGUUUGAUCUUCUGGGUUUAGUUUUGUCUUUGAAAAUUUUUAAGAAACUUGCAGAGAAAGACUGAGUUGGUUAGGGGAACGCAGUGGCUCCACAGUCAGAUCUGAGUGUCGCUGCGGGUUCGAGCACAGCCCUUGACUCCCAGAGUUCCUCCAGGUUUGGUUGUUGUUUGGGGUCGGUUGUAGCUAUUGUUUUGUUUUGUUUUUUAGUGGAGUCCUUGUUCACAUUCUGUGAACUCUGUACCCUGAACCCAUGAUUUCUGGAAGACUUGCCUGGAAAUCAAGAUACUGUUUUCUCCCUUUUCUUCAAAAAAUGCAGAAGUUAGGGAGGUGAUGGGUGUGUGUCACCCUGCUACCUUCACCCUCGUGUUUGACUCCCAAGAGUAUUGACAGUGUCGUGCCCACCACUCGUCGACUUGAGCACCACCGAAUGCCGGUGUCUGCGGGCAUCAUUGUCUCCGCUGUGCUAAGGAGACCUGUGUCAAAACUUACACGUCCCAUAUCCCUGCAUCCCACCACCUGUCACUUGCGGUGUUACCCCUACUAUGCCCACAUGUAUUGAGCUGGUCUUCUGCAUUGAAGUGUUGCCCCCUUUCUUUUCCCCAUUGCGUGUGGGGGGAGGGUCCAUAAACCUGAGUGUGCCUUUGCUUCCCACCCUUGCUAGACACUGUAGAUGCAAAAACUCAGAUUUAUAUUUGUUGUAAAGUUGUAAAAAUAUUGUGAUGUCACCAAUUUUCCUUCCAUCUCCACAUCCCCUAACAUCUGAUUCACGACUUAAUGUAUGUUGUAAAAAGAAAA